GCUUUGCUCAUAAAAAAUGUAUUGUUGCUGCUAAUGGUGUUGGUGUUGUUCCAAACUACUUGCGGUUUAAGUCUUCAUCAGCCUAGACAAACCGUUAUAGCCACUAAUGAUUUGGGCGCAGAGAUGACCAUUCACUGCAAAUCCAAGCAGGAUGAUCUUGGUUCCCAUCUUAUCCCCAUUAAAGGCAAGUAUGAGUUUUCAUUUCGACCCAACUUUUGGGGGACAACACAAUUUUAUUGCAGUUUCCAAUGGGGAACAAAAUUUCACUAUUCCGAUAUAUACAUAGAUUCUAGAGACUUCAAGUUUGGUGAUACUAAUAAGUGUUUGUGGGGCAUAAUACCAAAAGGUCCUUGCAUGUGGAACUAUU
rnacentral:lncRNA from 1 species